CGCUCUCUAGCAAACUAACUACAUUCAUUAAGGUGAUAAAAAUGCUACGUGGAUAGGUACAUGUAAAAUUAGAAAUUAGUCAACAAUGCAUGAUUCUACAAACAAAGAAAUAGGAUGGUAUUUUGACAGCGUCAAAACGAAGUUUAUUUGCUAGAGAGAGCAUUGCUAUUAUAUACUACAUACAA